GUGGGGAAUAUUGGACAAUGGGGGGAACCCUGAUCCAGCCAUGCCGCGUGUGUGAAGAAGGCCUUUUGGUUGUAAAGCACUUUAAGUGGGGAGGAGGCUUACCUGGUUAAUACCUAGGCUAAGUGGACGUUACCCACAGAAUAAGCACCGGCUAACUCUGUGCCAGCAGCCGCGGUAAUACAGAGGGUGCGAGCGUUAAUCGGAUUUACUGGGCGUAAAGCGCGCGUAGGUGGUUAAUUAAGUCAAAUGUGAAAUCCCCGAGCUUAACUUGGGAAUUGCAUUCGAUACUGGUUAGCUAGAGUAUGGGAGAGGAUGGUAGAAUUCCAGGUGUAGCGGUGAAAUGCGUAGAGAUCUGGAGGAAUACCGAUGGCGAAGGCAGCCAUCUGGCCUAAUACUGACACUGAGGUGCGAAAGCAUGGGGAGCAAACAGGAUUAGAAACCCGGGUAGUCC
rnacentral:rRNA from 1 species